GAAUAUAAUUUCAAUGUAACCUUGAUUUAGCAAUACUUUUUAAUAUAUAUUGAAAUUAAUGCGUAGGUGCCACGACUUGAGUUGGGAAGGUCUAGUGCUCGUGGCCAGACCCUACAUUGUUCUAGAUGUUGGUCUGGAUUUACAGACUAGGUGCCUGCUUGAGGUGCAAGUUAAAAGAUGGGUGCUUUGCAUCAACGACAUGUCUUAGUUUUCAUAUUUAAGUUUUAUCACUCAAGUCUCAACCUUAAAAGAUGUAGGCCAAUUGCUGAAGGGGAAACCUUUAAAAUUACUUUCCCCAUAGAUUGCGACUGUUUCCACAUACUAGACAGAAAAUCAGCCAUAUAAUUUUUGUGUUUUAACAAUUAUUCUUGGGUUUUAUAGGUGAUGGCGUAAGUCGCUAUUUCCUCAGCUUUGCCAUGAACGCUUUACGGUCCGGAUUCAGAAUACAUUUUGGUAAUGCUGAUGUGACAAUGCUCUUUGAGGGGCAAAAGGAUCACCUCAUCCCCUGCGCAUCACAGCCACUAUUGGACUCUGACCUAUUUAUGAUGGCAGGCAGAAUGGUGGGGCAUUCCUUCAUUCACGGUGGCCCAGGUUUGGCAGGCAUCAGUCCUGCUGUAGUCCAUAUGCUCCUAGGGGGGCAAUUGGAGACAGCAACAUUGGUCCUGGAGGAUUGCCCUGAUCUUGAUCAGAGGAACACUAUCCACUUGCUGGAAGGCAUUAAUGAGCUAUCUGAGGACCAGAAGGCUGAUGUCAAUAGCCUGACAGACAUGUGGGAGCUGCCACGACUGACUGAUAAGAACAGAAGAUAUCUUCAUCAGCAGCUUUUGCAGCAUGCGGUAAUGGAAGACUUUGUUGAAAUUGAUACAAUUUAACAUACAGUAACUCAAUACUUGGCUGUUUCUGAAUCUGUCUUUUUAUAUGAAUUUAUUUAAAAAAAGGAUAAAUAUGCUAAAUAUUUUGAUAAAAAAAUUAUCACAGAGAAAAAAGUUACAUUUCAUUCAAUUCAUAUCUUACCUUUGUGCAAAUAUUCAGUGCACCAAUCAAUGGACUGCUGUGUCUAGCUCAAACUUUUUGGGACGUCUAGGUACCCCCAUUGAAAGGGUGACGUAAGCCUUAGGUUCCCACUGAGCGUAUUGGUGCUGAUUGCAUGUAUUUAUUUUGAAAAGGCACUGCAGUCCGUGAAUUGUAACUUUGGGAACAGACAGGAGCCCAGGACAGCAUUCUAAAACCACUGAUUGGGCAUGGUCCUUGGUAUUUGCCAUCCACAAUAGAGAAGAUAAUCCAACACUAAUUUAAGUCAUGCUCUCACCCUGUAUUUCCUUGUGGAUACAAGGACACAUUUCCAGAGGCGAAAGUGAGUUCUUGUCAGUGGUGGGGAAUUAAAGGAAUAUUUUUGAGACCCAAAUUACAGAACAAACACAGGCCAUUAUAUGAUUCCUGACAUCUGUUUUAAUUACAUUCGACUAAUGGUUUCAAAGGAGCUCAGAAGCCCAACAACAUGCCACAUUAGCUACA